AACAAACGCUGGCGGCGUGCCUAAUACAUGCAAGUCGAACGGGGUAGCAACACCUAGUGGCGCACGGGUGAGGAACGCGUGGAUAAUCUGCCUUAGAGUGGGGGAUAACUAGUCGAAAGAUUAGCUAAUACCGCAUAAGACCACAGGAGCUGCGGCUCUAGGGGUCAAAGGUCUUUCGCUCUAAGAUGAGUCCGCGUAAGAUUAGCUAGUUGGUGAGGUAACGGCUCACCAAGGAGACGAUCUUUAACUGGUCUGAGAGGAUGAUCAGUCACACUGGAACUGAGCCACGGUCCAGACGCCUACGGGAGGCAGCAGUAGGGAAUAUUGCACAAUGGAGGAAACUCUGAUGCAGCGACGCCGCGUGAGUGAUGAAGGCCUUCGGGUCGUAAAGCUCUGUCGCAGGGGAAUAACACAAUGAAUGUACCCUGUAAGAAAGGAUCGGCUAACUUCGUGCCAGCCGCCGCCGUAAAAC
rnacentral:rRNA from 1 species